UCCUACGGGAGGCAGCAGUGGGGAAUUUUGGACAAUGGGGGCAACCCUGAUCCAGCCAUUCCGCGUGAGUGAAGAAGGCCUUCGGGUUGUAAAGCUCUUUCGGCAGGAACGAAACGGCGCGCUCUAACAUAGCGCGUUAAUGACGGUACCUGAAGAAGAAGCACCGGCUAACUACGUGCCAGCAGCCGCGGUAAUACGUAGGGUGCGAGCGUUAAUCGGAAUUACUGGGCGUAAAGCGUGCGCAGGCGGUUGUGUAAGACAGGUGUGAAAUCCCCGGGCUUAACCUGGGAACUGCGCUUGUGACUGCACGGCUAGAGUAUGGCAGAGGGGGGUGGAAUUCCACGUGUAGCAGUGAAAUGCGUAGAGAUGUGGAGGAACACCGAUGGCGAAGGCAGCCCCUUGGGCCAAUACUGACGCUCAUGCACGAAAGCGGGGGAGCAAACAGGAUUAGAUACCCUGGUAGUCCACGCCCUAAACGAUGUCGACUAGGUGUUCGGUGAGGAGACUCAUUGAGUAACCCGGCCAUG
rnacentral:rRNA from 1 species